rnacentral:rRNA from 1 species
GACGAACGCUGGCGGCGUGCUUAACACAUGCAAGUCGAACGGAAAGGCCCUGCUUUUGUGGUGUGCUCGAGUGGCGAAUGGGUGAGUAACACGUGAGUAACCUGCCCUUGACUUUGGGAUAACUUCAGGAAACUGGGGCUAAUACCGGAUAGGAGCUCCUGCUGCAUGGUGGGGGUUGGAAAGUUUCGGCGGUUGGGGAUGGACUCGCGGCUUAUCAGCUUGUUGGUGGGGUAGUGGCUUACCAAGGCUUUGACGGGUAGCCGGCCUGAGAGGGUGAACGGCCACAUUGGGACUGAGAUACGGCCCAGACUCCUACGGGAGGCAGCAGUGGGGAAUAUUGCACAAUGGGCGGAAGCCUGAUGCAGCACCGCCGCGUGCGGGAUGACGGCCUUCGGGUUGUAAACCGCUUUCGCCUGUGACGAAGCGUGAGUGACGGUAAUGGGUAAAGAAGCACCGGCUAACUACGUG